ensembl:rRNA 5S_rRNA 5S ribosomal RNA
GUCUCAGGCCGGAUCAGCCUGAAGGCGCCCGAUCUCGUCUGAUCUCGGAAGUCUAAGCAGGGUCGGGCCUGGUUAGUAUCUUGGAUGGGAGACCACAUGGGAAUCCCGGGUGCUCGAGGCU